rnacentral:rRNA from 1 species
UACAGAGGUGCCAAGCGUUUAGGCGGAAUCACUGGGCUUAAAGCGCGUGUAGGUGGGUCGUUAAGUGUCCGCGUGAAAUCCCACGGCUCAACCGUGGAACUGCCGGGCAUACUGGCGAUCUUGAGGCAUUCAGGGGCGAGCGGAACAAAUGGUGGAGCGGUGAAAUGCGUAGAUAUGCGGAGGAACACCGAUGGCGAAGGCAAUCCCCUGGACCUGUACUGACGCUCAUGCACGAAAGCGUGGGGAGCAAACAGG